GGGGGCGAAAUAGGAUCGACGAGGGCGUAAAGGGCGAACUUUUUCCCGGUAUUGUUCCGCCGUUAUCGGGCUAUGCAAUAGUUGCCAACGACAACUUUGCUCCGGUUGCUCAGGCUGCGUAACGCAGUUUGAAAGACCAUUCUGAAGUCCUAACGGGUUAAGCUCCGUUAGGCGGGGUUCGGAGGCACCUGGCAACAGAAGCCUCCACU
rnacentral:tmRNA from 2 species